rnacentral:rRNA from 1 species
AUACAUGCAGUCGAACGGCAGCACGGGUAGCAAUAUCUGGUGGCGAGUGGCGCACGGGUGCGUAACGCGUAUGCAAUCUACCUUCAACUGGUGAAUAGCCCGAAGAAAUUCGGAUUAACACACCAUAGUAUAUUAGAGCGGCAUCACUUUAAUAUUAAAACUCCGGUGGUUGAAGAUGAGCAUGCGUGACAUUAGCUAGUUGGUGAGGUAAUGGCUCACCAAGGCUACGAUGUCUAGGGGAUCUGAGAGGAUUAACCCCCACACUGGUACUGAGACACGGACCAGACUCCUACGGGAGGCAGCAGUAAGGAAUAUUGGACAAUGGUCGCAAGACUGAUCCAGCCAUGCCGCGUGAAGGAUGAAGGCCCUAUGGGUUGUAAACUUCUUUUGUACGGGAAAAAACCCCUCUACGUGUAGAGGGCUGAUUGUACCGUAAGAAUAAGGAUCGGCUAACUCCGUGCCAGCAGCCGCGGUAAUACGGAGGAUCCAAGCGUUAUCCGGAUUCAUUGGGUUUAAAGGGUGCGUAGGCGGAAUGAUAAGUCAGUGGUGAAAGCCUGCAGCUUAACUGCAGAACUGCCAUUGAUACUGUCAAUCUUGAGUAUAUUUGAUGUGGGCGGAAUGUGUCAUGUAGCGGUGAAAUGCUUAGAUAUGACACAGAACACCGAUUGCGAAGGCAGCUCACAAAACUAUAACUGACGCUGAGGCACGAAAGCGUGGGUAUCAAACAGGAUUAGAUACCCUGGUAGUCCACGCUGUAACUAUGAUUACUCGAUGUUUGCGAUAUACAGUAAGCGUCUAAGCGAAAGCGAUAGUAAUCCACCUGGGGAGUACGCUCGCAGAGUGAAACUCAA